rnacentral:rRNA from 2 species
ACAGGGAUUGCCCUAGUAACGGCGAGUGAAGCGGCAACAGCUCAAAUUUGAAAUCUGGCGUCUUUGGCGUCCGAGUUGUAAUUUGCAGAGGGCGCUUUGGCAUUGGCAGCGGUCCAAGUUCCUUGGAACAGGACGUCACAGAGGGUGAGAAUCCCGUACGUGGUCGCUAGCCUUUACCGUGUAAAGCCCCUUCGACGAGUCGAGUUGUUUGGGAAUGCAGCUCUAAAUGGGAGGUAAAUUUCUUCUAAAGCUAAAUAUUGGCCAGAGACCGAUAGCGCACAAGUAGAGUGAUCGAAAGAUGAAAAGCACUUUGGAAAGAGAGUUAAAAAGCACGUGAAAUUGUUGAAAGGGAAGCGCUUGCAGCCAGACUUGCCUGUAGUUGCUCAUCCGGGUUUCUACCCGGUGCACUCUUCUAUAGGCAGGCCAGCAUCAGUUUGGGCGGUUGGAUAAAGGUCUCUGUCAUGUACCUCUCUUCGGGGAGAACUUAUAGGGGAGACGACAUGCAACCAGCCUGGACUGAG